rnacentral:misc_RNA from 1 species
AUAGGGAGAAAAAAAAAAAGAAAUGGCCUUCCAGAUUUAUUCUAGAGUUUAUCGUUGCACUGUCAAAAUAGAAAGUUUCAAUGAUAUUUAUGUUAUUGCAUGAAAUAUAAACUGAGAGUAUCAACAAAAUCUUUCCUUUAACCAACCAAAAAGGCUUGGAUAUUAUUUUCUGCAUAAAUCUCAGGUGAAUUCCAAAUACUUGGAAUAUUAUAGGAAACAAUCUCCAAAAAAAAAAAAAAAG